rnacentral:rRNA from 1 species
AUUGAACGCUGGCGGCAUGCCUUACACAUGCAAGUCGAACGGCAGCACGGGAGCAAUCCUGGUGGCGAGUGGCGAACGGGUGAGUAAUAUAUCGGAACGUGCCCAGUCGUGGGGGAUAACGCAGCGAAAGCUGUGCUAAUACCGCAUACGAUCCAUGGAUGAAAGCGGGGGAUCGCAAGACCUCGCGCGAUUGGAGCGGCCGAUAUCAGAUUAGCUAGUUGGUGAGGUAAAGGCUCACCAAGGCGACGAUCUGUAGCUGGUCUGAGAGGACGACCAGCCACACUGGAACUGAGACACGGUCCAGACUCCUACGGGAGGCAGCAGUGGGGAAUUUUGGACAAUGGGCGCAAGCCUGAUCCAGCAAUGCCGCGUGCAGGAUGAAGGCCUUCGGGUUGUAACUAGCUUUGUUACGGAGCGAAAGGACUCUCUCUAAUACGGGGAGUUCAUGACGGUACCGUAAGAAUAAGCACCGG